rnacentral:rRNA from 1 species
AGUGAACGCUGGCGGUAGGCCUAACACAUGCAAGUCGAACGGCAGCACAGUAAGAGCUUGCUCUUACGGGUGGCGAGUGGCGGACGGGUGAGGAAUACAUCGGAAUCUACUUUUUCGUGGGGGAUAACGUAGGGAAACUUACGCUAAUACCGCAUACGACCUACGGGUGAAAGCAGGGGAUCUUCGGACCUUGCGCGAUUGAAUGAGCCGAUGUCGGAUUAGCUAGUUGGCGGGGUAAAGGCCCACCAAGGCGACGAUCCGUAGCUGGUCUGAGAGGAUGAUCAGCCACACUGGAACUGAGACACGGUCCAGAAUCCUACGGGAGGCAGCAGUGGGGAAUAUUGGACAAUGGGCGCAAGCCUGAUCCAGCCAUACCGCGUGGGUGAAGAAGGCCUUCGGGUUGUAAAGCCCUUUUGUUGGGAAAGAAAAGCAGCAGGUUAAUACCCCGCUGUUCUGACGGUACCCAAAGAAUAAACACCGGCUAACUUCGU